UGGGGAAUUUUGGACAAUGGGCGAAAGCCUGAUCCAGCCAUGCCGCGUGAGUGAAGAAGGCCUUCGGGUUGUAAAGCUCUUUUAGUCGGAAAGAAAGAGUUGCAAUGAAUAAUUGUGAUUUAUGACGGUACCGACAGAAAAAGCACCGGCUAAUUACGUGCCAGCAGCCGCGGUAAUACGUAUGGGGCAAGCGUUAAUCGGAAUUACUGGGCGUAAAGGGUGCGCAGGCGGUCUUGCAAGUCAGAUGUGAAAGCCCCGGGCUUAACCUGGGAAUUGCGUUUGAAACUACAAGGCUAGAGUGCAGCAGAGGGGAGUGGAAUUCCAUGUGUAGCAGUGAAAUGCGUAGAGAUGUGGAAGAACACCGAUGGCGAAGGCAGCUCCCUGGGUUGACACUGACGCUCAUGCACGAAAGCGUGGGGAGCAAACA
rnacentral:rRNA from 1 species